GUUUGCUGUUUUCUGUCUCGUGUCCAUGCUCGUGUCCAUGCUCGUGUCCAGGCUCCUGUCCCGUAUGGCAGGCAGAAGACCUUUCUCAACACUGGCGGAGUCCACCUGCACAUGUCUAGAUUUAAAACAAUCAGAUUUCUCAAAAUCAGCACAGUGUGAGUAGCAGGCUCCGUCCACCAGUUGUUGCAGCUGCUAGCUCUGCCAGUUGGAAAGAGUGUGGGGUGGACUCAACCAUUCCUGAGAAUGGGAGUGGGGGAAACUAAAUCUUUAAAGAUGUAAAUAGCACAUUAUUGCGCAAUUAUAAUGAGCACUGCUUACAUUGUGCUUUCAAUAAAUGCUACUGCAUUGUUCAAAAAUUA